UUAAGCGACUAAGCGUACACGGUGGAUGCCCUGGCAGUCAGAGGCGAUGAAGGACGUGCUAAUCUGCGAAAAGCGUCGGUAAGGUGAUAUGAACCGUUACAGCCGGCGAUGUCCGAAUGGGGAAACCCAGUGCAAUUCGUUGCACUAUCGUUAACUGAAUACAUAGGUUAACGAGGCGAACCGGGGGAACUGAAACAUCUAAGUACCCCGAGGAAAAGAAAUCAACCGAGAUUCCCCCAGUAGCGGCGAGCGAACGGGGAGCAGCCCGGAGUCUGAAUCAGCUUGUGUGUUAGUGGAAGCGUCUGGAAAGUCGCAGGGUACAGGGUGAUACUCCCGUACACUAAAACACACAGGCUGUGAACUCGAAGAGUAGGGCGGGACACGUGGUAUCCUGUCUGAAUAUGGGGGGACCAUCCUCCAAGGCUAAAUACUCCUGACUGACCGAUAGUGAACCAGUACCGUGAGGGAAAGGCGAAAAGAACCCCGGCGAGGGGAGUGAAAAAGAACCUGAAACCGUGUACGUACAAGCAGUAGGAGCCCACUAGUUGGGUGACUGCGUACCUUUUGUAUAAUGGGUCAGCGACUUAUAUUCUGUAGCAAGGUUAACCGUAUAGGGGAGCCGCAGGGAAACCGAGUCUUAACUGGGCGUUAAGUUGCAGGGUAUAGACCCGAAACCCGGUGAUCUAGCCAUGGGCAGGUUGAAGGUUGGGUAACACUAACUGGAGGACCGAACCGACUAAUGUUGAAAAAUUAGCGGAUGACUUGUGGCUGGGGGUGAAAGGCCAAUCAAACCGGGAGAUAGCUGGUUCUCCCCGAAAGCUAUUUAGGUAGCGCCUCGUGAAUUCAUCUUCGGGGGUAGAGCACUGUUUCGGCUAGGGGGUCAUCCCGACUUACCAACCCGAUGCAAACUACGAAUACCGAAGAAUGUUAUCACGGGAGACACACGGCGGGUGCUAACGUCCGUCGUGAAGAGGGAAACAACCCAGACCGCCAGCUAAGGUCCCAAAGUCAUGGUUAAGUGGGAAACGAUGUGGGAAGGCCCAGACAGCCAGGAUGUUGGCUUAGAAGCAGCCAUCAUUUAAAGAAAGCGUAAUAGCUCACUGGUCGAGUCGGCCUGCGCGGAAGAUGUAACGGGGCUAAACCAUGCACCGAAGCUGCGGCAGCGACACUAUGUGUUGUUGGGUAGGGGAGCGUUCUGUAAGCCGUUGAAGGUGGCCUGUGAGGGUUGCUGGAGGUAUCAGAAGUGCGAAUGCUGACAUAAGUAACGAUAAUGCGGGUGAAAAACCCGCACGCCGGAAGACCAAGGGUUCCUGUCCAACGUUAAUCGGGGCAGGGUGAGUCGACCCCUAAGGCGAGGCCGAAAGGCGUAGUCGAUGGGAAACAGGUUAAUAUUCCUGUACUUGGUGUUACUGCGAAGGGGGGACGGAGAAGGCUAUGUUGGCCGGGCGACGGUUGUCCCGGUUUAAGCAUGUAGGCGGAUGUUCCAGGUAAAUCCGGAACGUUAUUAACGCUGAGGUGUGAUGACGAGGCACUACGGUGCUGAAGUGACAAAUGCCCUGCUUCCAGGAAAAGCCUCUAAGCAUCAGGUAACAUCAAAUCGUACCCCAAACCGACACAGGUGGUCAGGUAGAGAAUACCAAGGCGCUUGAGAGAACUCGGGUGAAGGAACUAGGCAAAAUGGUGCCGUAACUUCGGGAGAAGGCACGCUGAUGGUAGGUGAAGUGACUUGCUCAUGGAGCUGAAAUCAGUCGAAGAUACCAGCUGGCUGCAACUGUUUAUUAAAAACACAGCACUGUGCAAACACGAAAGUGGACGUAUACGGUGUGACGCCUGCCCGGUGCCGGAAGGUUAAUUGAUGGGGUUAUCCUCACGGAGAAGCUCUUGAUCGAAGCCCCGGUAAACGGCGGCCGUAACUAUAACGGUCCUAAGGUAGCGAAAUUCCUUGUCGGGUAAGUUCCGACCUGCACGAAUGGCGUAAUGAUGGCCAGGCUGUCUCCACCCGAGACUCAGUGAAAUUGAACUCGCUGUGAAGAUGCAGUGUACCCGCGGCAAGACGGAAAGACCCCGUGAACCUUUACUAUAGCUUGACACUGAACACUGGUCCUUGAUGUGUAGGAUAGGUGGGAGGCUUUGAAGUGUGGACGCCAGUCUGCAUGGAGCCAUCCUUGAAAUACCACCCUUUAAUGGCUGGUGUUCUAACGUGGGCCCCUAAUCGGGGUUGCGGACAGUGUCUGGUGGGUAGUUUGACUGGGGCGGUCUCCUCCUAAAGAGUAACGGAGGAGCACGAAGGUCAGCUAAUCCUGGUCGGACAUCAGGAGGUUAGUGCAAUGGCAUAAGCUGGCUUGACUGCGAGCGUGACGGCGCGAGCAGGUGCGAAAGCAGGUCAUAGUGAUCCGGUGGUUCUGAAUGGAAGGGCCAUCGCUCAACGGAUAAAAGGUACUCCGGGGAUAACAGGCUGAUACCGCCCAAGAGUUCAUAUCGACGGCGGUGUUUGGCACCUCGAUGUCGGCUCAUCACAUCCUGGGGCUGAAGUAGGUCCCAAGGGUAUGGCUGUUCGCCAUUUAAAGUGGUACGCGAGCUGGGUUUAGAACGUCGUGAGACAGUUCGGUCCCUAUCUGCCGUGGGCGCUGGAGAAUUGAGGGGGGCUGCUCCUAGUACGAGAGGACCGGAGUGGACGCAUCACUGGUGUUCGGGUUGUCAUGCCAAUGGCAUUGCCCGGUAGCUAAAUGCGGAAGAGAUAAGUGCUGAAAGCAUCUAAGCACGAAACUUGCCCCGAGAUGAGUUCUCCCUGACUCCUUGAGAGUCCUGAAGGAACGUUGAAGACGACGACGUUGAUAGGCCGGGUGUGUAAGCGCAGCGAUGCGUUGAGCUAACCGGUACUAAUGAACCGUGAGGCUUAACCUU
rnacentral:rRNA from 1 species